rnacentral:lncRNA from 1 species
AUGGCAGAUUUUACUGCUCUGUGGGGGAGCAAUUCUACCAGCCAACCUCCCACUGCCUUGUCUGAAUUUCCACAAGGCACAGCACUGGAAGGCAGUGGUGCAGGAGCCUCUGGCUACCUGAGCCAUCGGGCUCCAUCCUGCCCCAUCCAUCAUCCAUCAUCCAUCAUCCAUCCAUCCAUCCAUCCAUCAUCCAUCAUCCAUCAUCCAUCCAUCCAUCAUCCAUCCAUCAUCCAUCAUCCAUCAUCCAUCAUCCAUCAUCCAUCCAUCCAUCAUCCAUCCACCCUCUGGUGUUUGCUGUAAGGUUUAAUUCUGUCUGUGUCCAUAAAGCACACACUGCCUGUGUGAGGGGCAGAUUGAGCUGUGCUGUUCUGGCACCAUUUUAAAGCAUUUACCACAGUUCAGUUCUGUCUAAUACAACAAGGACAGAUUUUUUUAAACAUUUGUGGCACAGUAAUAGUUCCACUGAGUGUCCCCAACUUGCAGUGUAAUAAAUACAGGGUUUAUAUCA